CCUACGGGAGGCAGCAGUGAGGAAUAUUGGUCAAUGGCCGGAAGGCUGAACCAGCCAAGCCGCGUGAAGGACGAAGGUGCCAAGCAUUGUAAACUUCUUUUGUCAAGGGACAAAAUCAGGCUCGAGAGCCUGACCGAGGGUACUUGAAGAAAAAGCAUCGGCUAACUCCGUGCCAGCAGCCGCGGUACUACGGAGGAUGCGAGCGUUAUCCGGAUUUAUGGGGUUUAAAGGGUGCGUAGGCGGGCUGUUAAGUCAGCGGUAAAAGCCCGGGGCUCAACCCCGGCGAGCCGUUGAAACUGGCUGUCUUGAGAUGUCGAGAGGUAUGCGGAAUGCGCAGUGUAGCGGUGAAAUGCUUAGAUAUUGCGCAGAACUCCGAUUGCGAAGGCAGCAUACCGGCGGCGAUCUGACGCUGAGGCACGAAAGCGUGGGUAUCGAACAGGAUUAGAUACCCGUGUAGUC
rnacentral:rRNA from 1 species